rnacentral:rRNA from 1 species
AUUGAACGCUGGCGGCAUGCCUUACACAUGCAAGUCGAACGGUAACAGGUCUUCGGAUGCUGACGAGUGGCGAACGGGCGAGUAAUACAUCGGAACGUGCCCAGACGUGGGGGAUAACGAGGCGAAAGCUUUGCUAAUACCGCAUACGAUCUAAGGAUGAAAGCAGGGGACCGCAAGGCCUUGUGCGUUCGGAGCGGCCGAUGGCGGAUUAGGUAGUUGGUGGGAUAAAAGCUUACCAAGCCGACGAUCUGUAGCUGGUCUGAGAGGACGACCAGCCACACUGGAGCUGGGACACGGCCCAGGCUCCUACGGGAGGCAGCAGUGGGGAAUUUUGGACAAUGGGCGAAAGCCUGAUCCAGCAAUGCCGCGUGCAGGAUGAAGGCCUUCGGGUUGUAAACUGCGUUUGUACGGAACGAAAAGGCUCUGGCUAAUACCUGGGGCACAUGACGGUACCGGAAGAAGAAGCACCGGCUAACUACGUG